GUGGCGAGUGGCGAACGGGUGAGUAAUAUAUCGGAACAUACCCUAGAGUGGGGGAUAACGUAGCGAAAGUUACGCUAAUACCGCAUACGCACUAAGGUGGAAAGUGGGGGAUCGCAAGACCUCAUGCUCAUGGAGUGGCCGAUAUCUGAUUAGCUAGUUGGUGAGGUAAAGGCUCACCAAGGCGACGAUCAGUAGCUGGUUUGAGAGAACGACCAGCCACACUGGAACUGAGACACGGUCCAGACUCCUACGGGAGGCAGCAGUGGGGAAUUUUGGACAAUGGGCGCAAGCCUGAUCCAGCAAUGCCGCGUGAGUGAAGAAGGCCUUCGGGUUGUAAAGCUCUUUUGUCAGGGAAGAAACGGUAGUCUCUAAUACAGAUUGCUAAUGACGGUACCUGAAGAAUAAGCACCGGCUAACUACGUGCCAGCAGCCGCGGUAAUACGUAGGGUGCAAGCGUUAAUCGGAAUUACUGGGCGUAAAGCGUGCGCAGGCGGUUAUAUAAGUCAGAUGUGAAAUCCCCGGGCUCAACCUGGGAACUGCAUUUGAGACUGUAUGGCUAGAGUGUGUCAGAGGGGGGUAGAAUUCCACGUGUAGCAGUGAAAUGCGUAGAUAUGUGGAGGAAUACCGAUGGCGAAGGCAGCCCCCUGGGAUAACACUGACGCUCAUGCACGAAAGCGUGGGGAGCAAACAGGAUUAGAUACCCUGGUAGUCCACGCCCUAAACGAUGUCUACUAGUUGUCGGGACUUAAUUGUCUUGGUAACGCAGCUAACGCGUGAAGUAGACCGCCUGGGGAGUACGGUCGCAAGAUUAAAACUCAAAGGAAUUGACGGGGACCCGCACAAGCGGUGG
rnacentral:rRNA from 1 species